CUAAAUUAGAAACAGAAGCCAAACAUCUUCUGACGGUCAACUUAUCUCAUUGUUAGGGUGUUGACAUCCACCAGUGAUGUGUGAUAAAUCUGCUAUGUAAAGCUCAAUGAAAAGCCUGAACACAGGUCUGAGGGACCCGUUACAAUGACUAAUGCCUCGACUGACAGCGAAAGAUAAGACUCAUCCUUCACCUCAGCUGAGCCCAUUUCUCAGCAAUAAUGUUCAUAAUGGAGUGCUCCGAUGUCGUUAUUGUGUGAAUAAUUUAAACAGUGAUUUAGAUUAUUGGGCACUGAGGUCACAGCCACAUCAACUACCUAUAGAAGGACAUCCAGAUGAGAUACUGCUUUACUUUGAGCACUUUUAAGAGGCACUUUCUCUAGACUCAUGCGAAAAGGCUGGAGAUGACUGCGUGGUAAUGAUUUGAUGGAGUUUAGCAUGUUUUCCCUGCAGCAGGAUUAAAAUAAGCAAGCAGCUUUCUUUCUGUGAGUGACUGACUGCGGUCCAAGGAGACCACUUGGCACCUGGAGUGACAGGCUGCCAUCAGCGUGUAAAGAUGCUAAUAUGAAUUCUGAUCACUUGCUCAUAUAGGCAAGGGAAUUACUGCCCAUCACCAGCAUCGACUGAUUCUCCACACAUGGCAAAGUCAAGGGGCACGCAGCAGAACCCAGGCAAAUGUAGCUGGCACGGCAGUCGAAGCCAGCUUCGGCUCAACACCUCCUUCCUCUGUGACAGUGCUAGAAGAUGUGCUCUGUAAUGUAAUAAAAUUAGAGCUAUAUCCCCAA